rnacentral:lncRNA from 1 species
GAGAUCUGCCUGCUGCAUCCAGAGGAGAGAAGGUUUGGAGCUUGGGUACGGCUUCUCUAUGAUUCUGCUUUUGACGAUCAGAAACUUGGUGUUUCCAAGCUGUUCAACUGAGGAAUAGGCCUUGGACCAGGUGAGUAGGUGACUCCUUCCCUCAUUGUGAACUGGCUGAGGUCCUCCUGAGAUCCCCACCCUCAUACCUCCACCCUCAGGUCAUGGAGAGCUCCCACUGCCAGAAGACAGGCUUUCUCUGUGGGUUCUGGAUAUGUGGUACUUCCAAGUAUUCUGGCUUGAAGCCUGAGUCACUGGGGUGCCUUGGCUAAGGCAUGAAAUUAGGGCUAUCUUCUACGAAUCGUGGUUAAUGUAUCCAAGGGGGGGUUGAUCUCACUUGAGAGUAAAUUUAACUGCACCAAACAAUAACUUAAGCACAUGUGGUAUAGACAGGCAAUGCGAGGCUCAGAGAGUGGCUGGAGGAUGUCAGGGAGAACUCAGACUUGCUUCCUGAGUCACUGUCUAUAGUGAGUACCCUUAGACUUUGUUGCUAAAAUCUGGCCACCAGACCCUAGCCAUCACAUCAACAUUC